rnacentral:rRNA from 1 species
UACGUAGGGGGCAAGCGUUGUCCGGAUUUAUUGGGCGUAAAGAGCGUGUAGGCGGCUGGGUAGGUCCGCUGUGAAAACUCGAGGCUUAACCUCGAGACGUCGGUGGAAACCAUCCAGCUAGAGUCCGGAAGAGGAGAGUGGAAUUCCUGGUGUAGCGGUGAAAUGCGCAGAUAUCAGGAAGAACACCCGUGGCGAAGGCGGCUCUCUGGGACGGUACUGACGCUGAGACGCGAAAGCGUGGGGAGCGAACAGG